rnacentral:ncRNA from 1 species
GUCAUUGCUAUAGUAAUUCUGCUCAGUACGAGAGGAACCGCAGAUUCAGACAUUUGGUAUAUGCGACUCGUUGAUAAGCGAAUGUUGCGAAGCUACCAUCUUUGGGAUUAUGGCUGAACGCCUCUAAGUCAGAAUCCCGCCUAGAAGCGAUGAU